GCCUCAGUAACGGCGAAGUGAAGCGGCAAGAGCUCAAAUUUGAAAGCUGGCCCCUUCGGGGUCCGCGUUGUAAUUUGCAGAGGAUGCUUCGGGUGCAGCCCCCGUCUAAGUGCCCUGGAACGGGCCGUCAUAGAGGGUGAGAAUCCCGUCUGGGACGGGGUGUCUGCGUCCGUGUGAAGCUCCUUCGACGAGUCGAGUUGUUUGGGAAUGCAGCUCUAAAUGGGUGGUAAAUUUCAUCUAAAGCUAAAUACUGGCCGGAGACCGAUAGCGCACAAGUAGAGUGAUCGAAAGAUGAAAAGCACUUUGAAAAGAGAGUUAAACAGCACGUGAAAUUGUUGAAAGGGAAGCGUUUGCGACCAGACUCGCCCGCGGGGUUCAGCCGGCAUUCGUGCCGGUGUACUUCCCCGUGGGCGGGCCAGCGUCGGUUUGGGCGGCCGGUCAAAGGCCCUCGGAAUGUAUCACCUCUCGGGGUGUCUUAUAGCCGAGGGUGCAAUGCGGCCUGCCUGGACCGAGGAACGCGCUUCGGCUCGGACGCUGGCGUAAUGGUCGUAAAUGACCCGUCUUGAAACACGGACCAAGGAGUCUAACAUCUACGCGAGUGUUCGGGUGUCAAACCCGUACGCGCAGUGAAAGCGAACGGAGGUGGGAGCCCCCUCGCGGGGCGCACCAUCGACCGAUCCUGAUGUCUUCGGAUGGAUUUGAGUACGAGCGUAGCUGUGGGGACCCGAAAGAUGGUGAACUAUGCCUGAAUAGGGCGAAGCCAGAGGAAACUCUGGUGGAGGCUCGCAGCGGUUCUGACGUGCAAAUCGAUCGUCAAAUUUGGGUAUAGGGG
rnacentral:rRNA from 1 species